rnacentral:rRNA from 1 species
AUUGAACGCUGGCGGCAUGCUUUACACUUGCAAGUCGAACGGUAACAGGCCGCAAGGUGCUGACGAGUGGCGAACGGGUGAGUAAUGCAUCGGAACGUGCCCAGUCGUGGGGGAUAACUACUCGAAAGAGUAGCUAAUACCGCAUACGAUCUAUGGAUGAAAGCGGGGGACCGUAAGGCCUCGCGCGAUUGGAGCGGCCGAUGUCAGAUUAGGUAGUUGGUGGGGUAAAGGCUCACCAAGCCAACGAUCUGUAGCUGGUCUGAGAGGACGACCAGCCACACUGGGACUGAGACACGGCCCAGACUCCUACGGGAGGCAGCAGUGGGGAAUUUUGGACAAUGGGCGCAAGCCUGAUCCAGCAAUGCCGCGUGCAGGAAGAAGGCCUUCGGGUUGUAAACUGCUUUUGUACGGAACGAAACGGCUCUGGUUAAUACCCGGGGCUAAUGACGGUACCGUAAGAAUAAGCACCGGCUAACUACGUG